rnacentral:tRNA from 7 species
AAAAUCCGUUGGCUUUUUAGACCGUGAGGGUUCAAGUCCCUCUACCCCUA